CACACACCAUGCAUCAUCUACACUCAGAUGGUCAACUCCAUAAAAGUACAAUAUACAUAUUAAUCUUUUGGCAUAUACAGAGAGUGUAAGGUCCCCAAAAAUUCUUAAGAGGCAGUUUUUGGGAUGUAAAAUAUUUCGCAAGCCCAGUGUAGAGGAGAUAAAUGAACGUAUUUCUUCCCAAAAUCCCUGAACUAUCGGGCAGGACCAGAAGCUGUGAAGAAAGUCAGCAACGUGGCCACAGCCUCUGAAGCAUUCUGCCAAUUACAUUUUUUGUAAUCAAACAGGGGUAAGAUAGGGAUGAUGGAAAAUGUUUAGCUGUAUAAUUCUAUCUUUGAAAGAAAUAACAGAGUUUUAUGCACAUGCUCACUUUAAAGCUACACUAUCAUUAGCAGCUCUCUCUGAUCUACACUAUGGAAUACAGAAGUGACAUGGAGGUCAGCAGGAUGACCAAUGAGAAUUGAGUGGGACCCAUGAGAUUAACACUCCUGUAACAGAUGUUAACAGUGCAGACUUCAUUUAAAGUUUUCCCAGGAUUGGCAUUCGGUGGUGUGGCCAGCAGGAAAGUAAAUACAGGUGAUCUUCAAAGAAAGUGGAAAGUACAGUGAUGAACAACCGCAUGAUAACACCAAGUGAUUAUGAGCGAACAGAAGAAACACUAAACAUAUGUUCGUCAGGCACAGAGAUAUAAGACUGUGCAAGUCAGUAGAAUCUGAAGAACCAGGCUUGUUUUGCCUGACUUGUUAUAUUUCUGCCAUGAGAGUGAAGUAGGCUGCAUAAAUUACAAUGUGCAGCAUGUAUCUCCGGACCCCUUUCAUUAUAAUCAAUGACUUUUCCUUCAACAAUAAAAAAAUAUGCAUUCUGAAAA